UACGGGGGGGGCAAGCGUUGUUCGGAAUUACUGGGCGUAAAGGGCGUGUAGGCGGCCAACUAAGUCCGACGUGAAAUCCCCAGGCUUAACCUGGGAACUGCGUCGGAUACUGGAUGGCUUGAAUCCGGGAGAGGGAUGCGGAAUUCCAGGUGUAGCGGUGAAAUGCGCAGAUAUCAGGAAGAACACCUAUGGCGAAAGCAGCUCUCUGGGACGGUACUGACGCUGAGACGCGAAAGCGUGGGGAGCGAACAGG
rnacentral:rRNA from 1 species